CCUACGGGAGGCAGCAGUGAGGAAUAUUGGUCAAUGGGCGCGAGCCUGAACCAGCCAAGUCGCGUGAGGGAAGACGGCCCUAUGGAUUGUAAACUUCUUUUGUAGGGGAGUAAAUGACGGUACGUGUACAGCUCUGCGAGUACCCGAAGAUAAAGGAUCGGCUAACUCCGUGCCAGCAGCCGCGGUAAUACGGAGGAUGCGGGCGUUAUCCGGAUUUAUUGGGGUAAAAGGGUGGGGAGUGGGAUGUACAAGUCCGAGGUAAAAUUUGGAGCCUCAACCUCUACGAGGUGUUGAAACGGGUUAGCUUGAGUGCACGAGAAGUAUGCGGAAUGCGUGGUGUAGCGGUGAAAUGCGUAGAUAUCAGGCGGAACUCCGACGGCGAAGGCGGCAUACCGGCGUUUAACUGACGCUCAGGCACGAAGGUGUGGGUAUCGAACAGGAUUAGAUACCCCUGUAGUC
rnacentral:rRNA from 1 species